GACGAACGCUGGCGGCGUGCUUAACACAUGCAAGUCGAACGGAAAGGCCCUGCUUGCAGGGUACUCGAGUGGCGAACGGGUGAGUAACACGUGGGUGAUCUGCCCUGCACUUCGGGAUAAGCCUGGGAAACUGGGUCUAAUACCGGAUAGGAGCCAUUUUUAGUGUGAUGGUUGGAAAGUUUUUUCGGUGUAGGAUGAGCUCGCGGCCUAUCAGCUUGUUGGUGGGGUAAUGGCCUACCAAGGCGGCGACGGGUAGCCGGCCUGAGAGGGUGGACGGCCACAGUGGGAAGGAAGUACGGCCCGGCCCCCGCGGGGGGGAGGAGGGGGGGAUGUUGGACAAUGGGGGGAAGGCUUGAUGAGGCGCGCCCGGGGGGGGGGUGAGGGCUUUGGGGUUUUAACACCUUUUGCCUGGGGACGAUGCUUUUUGGGAGGGUACCUAAAUAAGAAGCCCCGGCAAACUAGGUC
rnacentral:rRNA from 1 species